UUUAGCCUCAAUUUCACUAACGUCUGUUAGUAAUAACAACUUGUUAAAAUGUUAUGUCUUCUCUUUCAUUCAUAAGAAAAACGAAAGAGAUAAUAGCGUGAUAAUACUU